AGGGGUGUCUCAGCGAGUGCAGUUGUUCUGAGAAAUACCGGUAGAACUUGAUCUGGAUAAUACCAGCGAAAGGACAUGCAUCUUGAACCCCU
rnacentral:ncRNA from 1 species